UGCAAGUCGAACGAACCUUCGGGUUAGUGGCGGACGGGUGAGUAACGCGUGAGAAUCUGCCCUCAGGAGGGGGACAACAGCUGGAAACGGCUGCUAAUACCCCAUAUGCCGCGAGGUGAAAUGAAUUUCGCCUGAGGAUGAGCUCGCGUCUGAUUAGCUAGUUGGUGUAGGUAAUGGCUCACCAAGGCAUCGAUCAGUAGCUGGUCUGAGAGGAUGAUCAGCCACACUGGGACUGAGACACGGCCCAGACUCCUACGGGAGGCAGCAGUGGGGAAUUUUCCGCAGUGGGCGAAAGCCUGACGGAGCAACGCCGCGUGAGGGAUGAAGGCCUCUGGGCUGUAAACCUCUUUUAUCAAGGAAGAAGAUCUGACGGUACUUGAUGAAUAAGCCACGGCUAAUUCCGUGCCAGCAGCCGCGGUAAUACGGGAGUGGCAAGCGUUAUCCGGAAUUAUUGGGCGUAAAGCGUCCGCAGGCGGCCCUUCAAGUCUGCUGUUAAAAAGUGGAGCUUAACUCCAUCAUGGCAGUGGAAACUGUUGGGCUUGAGUGUGGUAGGGGCAGAGGGAAUUCCCGGUGUAGCGGUGAAAUGCGUAUAUAUCGGGAAGAACACCAGUGGCGAAGGCGCUCUGCUGGGCCAUCACUGACGCUCAUGGACGAAAGCCAGGGGAGCGAAAGGGAUUAGAUACCCCUGUAGUCCUGGCCGUAAACGAUGAACACUAGGUGUCGGGGGAAUCGACCCCCUCGGUGUCGUACCAACGCGUUAAGUGUUCCGCCUGGGGAGUACGCACGCAAAUGUGAAACUCAAAGGAAUUGACGGGGGGCC
rnacentral:rRNA from 1 species